CGAGGAAGGGGAAGGCCAAGGACCGUAAUCUCUGAUGAGAUCCGAGCCACUUUGGUUGAUCAUGUGGUCAACCAUGGUCUAACAAUGAGGGAAGCUGGGCAAAGAGUACAGCCAAAUUUGAGCAGGUACACUGUAGCAUCCAUCAUCCGGACUUUCCGAAAUGAGAAUAGAACUGAAAGAUUACCAACACAAGGUGGUCGGGAACGUCUUCUGUCUCCUGAACAGGAAACUGAAAUAAUCAACAUGGUCCUAGAAAAUAACGCCAUAACAUUACGGCAAAUACAAAGAAAAAUACUAGAAAACAAUGAGAUGUUUUUGUCUUGCGCAGAAAUAAUCUGAGGAUGAAGCAGGUCUACAGGGUGCCAUUUGAACGCAAUUCAGAAAGAGUCAAAGAAUUGCGACAUAACUAUGUGCAAAGAGUCCUCGAGCUAGAGGUGGCUGCAGUGGAGCAC